GACGAACGCUGGCGGCGUGCUUAACACAUGCAAGUCGAACGGAAAGGCUCCAGCUUGCUGGAGUACUCGAGUGGCGAACGGGUGAGUAACACGUGGGUAAUCUGCCCUGCACUCUGGGAUAAGCCUGGGAAACUGGGUCUAAUACUGGAUAUGACCUUUCUCCUUAUGGGGUUUGGUGGAAAGUUUUUCGGUGUAGGAUGAGCCCGCGGCCUAUCAGCUUGUUGGUGGGGUGAUGGCCUACCAAGGCGACGACGGGUAGCCGGCCUGAGAGGGUGAUCGGCCACAUUGGGACUGAGAUACGGCCCAGGCUCCUACGGGAGGCAGCAGUAGGGAAUAUUGCACAAUGGGCGGAAGCCUGAUGCAGCGACGCCGCGUGAGGGAUGACGGCCUUCGGGUUGUAAACCUCUUUCAGCAGGGACGAAGCGUAAGUGACGGUACCUGCAGAAGAAGCACCGGCUAACUAUGUG
rnacentral:rRNA from 1 species